rnacentral:rRNA from 1 species
GCUGCAACCAUGGAGGUCCGACCCGGCUGCAGCCAUGGACUGAGACGUCCGAAACCCUAGCUACCCGUGGAGGUCCGACGCCUCAACCUCCAAGGAAAGGACGCGCGUUGGCUGCAGGCCAUCUCCGGCGACCUCCGACCAUGGUUGCUCGGAUCUGGACCAGCUGCUGCUCCUACUGCUUCAGGUGAACGAGGACGAGCCCUCCCUCAUGGCUGCUGCGGCUGCCUACUCCCUCCUCCUACCCCCUGGCCUGGUGUGUGAACAAAGGAAGCCUUGCGCCAAGGAGAAGCGGGCGUGGUGUUCGACUAGGCCAAAGAGAGGACAGGAGAGGACCACAGAGAGCAAAGGAGAGGAUAGAGUCAGAGCGCCGUCAGUCAGCCGUGGGUAAAUCCGGUCAUGCUGCUUCAGGUUCAGGGUCUGCCUUGCUAUGAUACAAUGCGGGAGGAGAUCAACAUGUAGAGCAAGGUCUCCUGGUCCAAGUCCCCUGUCAGGAUGUGGUUCAACAUCAAGGGCAAGGCGCAGGAUUUCCAUGCGGAUAACGAUGCUACUACCCAAGGAUGGGACGAAGGUGAUUAACGGAGGACCAGCUGCUUGUAGAGGGACACAGGCGCUGCCAAGAAAAGCAGAAUUGAACGGUCGUUGAAGCGAAAUAUCGAUCAUGUUCGUAGAUCAGGGAAUGAAUUUGAUGUGUCACGCCUGACAAAAGCCCAAGAUUACAGAAUCUUUGUGUCGACGUGGAAUGUUGGUGGCCAAUGCCCAUCAAGGGGGUUAAAUUUAGAUGACUGAAUCCAUUCUUCACCCCUGCUGAUAUCUAUGUGCUCGGAUAUCACUUAUUACGAGGACACUAAACAAGAACGCUGGGUCUAGCAUUCAUGCUGGCUAUCACACGCCAUUCCCUGUCCCUGAUCCGGUUGUGGAACUAGAUGCUGAUUUUAAGGUAUCAUUGAGAAGACAUGAUAGCUCAUCAUUUUCCACCACUAUCAUUCCGAAACCUGAGUCGGAGUUUAAGGGUUUCAGGAAAUGAUAUGUUCUCACAACCAAUAUUGGCCCGUAGGUUUAUUGUGUGCAACCCUGUUAACAUAGGAGUCAGGCCGAGCGAUUUUGAUAGAAAUUUCAAGUGUAUCGGAUCACCGGUCGAUGAGUAUAUUGAGGAGGAUACAAGUAAUGGAGCAUAUUUUUCACCAUUCCCAUAGGCUAUGGUACUUAAACACCUAUGGAAAAAGAUGAAGAGCAGCCAAAUACUUCUAGGUGUCUAGGUAUUGUUUGGUUGCCAGCAAACAGAUGGUUGGCAGAUUUCUCACAGUUUGGGUACCAGGUAUAUAACCAAUUAACUCUGAAGAGAUGAAAAUACAAAUUAGUGUGGUAUAUUGCCGGUUCUUUAUCUUAUGCUUGUCCAUGUGCUUUUUCCCCCUAGGUUGAUUAUGGACCACAUCAAACUUCUAAAUUAUAAACUAGAUAUCAUGUUCAGCGUAAUUCGGCACUAAUUUUCCGGUGUGCUAUUUCCCAUGUCCAUCUUACUAUCCAGCUGCUUGCUUGUGGUAAUUCUGCAAACACUAGAAAAAAAAUCAAAUUUAUAGGUUGUUCAUCCACCUUAUAAUGUUAAUUGGAGAUAAGACCACAGGAACAGUUUGAGGCACAUCACAUAAUUAUUCUGUAUGAACUGCCCUAAAACUAAUCAUAUUUACAUUUGUAGGGGCUAGCUUUGCUGAUGUAUAUGCCGACAUGAUAAACUUGAUAUACAUGCAUACUUUAAUGUCAAUUGGAGAUAAGCUCAUAGUCUGGGGUGCAUCACAUAAUUACUAUGUAUGAACUGUCCUAGAACUAAUCACAUGUACACUUGUAGGCUUCAGAGUGUUGUUUCUGAAGAACCACAUUCAAGUCAUUAAAUUGAUUUUAUGAAGAGAUUCUCUCAGUUCUUGCAUAUUCGAUGUUUCAUGUUUGGCCUGCUUGGUAGCAACAUAGAUUCUCUACAACGUGCUAAUGACUUAUGGGAUGAUACCAUCAUCAUAUUGUCAGGUCAUAUACCUCCUAUCUUUUAUGCAAUCUUGAAGUUUAUUUACAAGGAUACAAUGCAUGUUUUCCUGAUCGAGUGAUCACUCGAUUAUGUGUUCAACCGAGAUCUGGAAAUUAGGGUGAAAGGGUCAGUACUUACACAUAGGGUUAUAACUAUAGCCAAGGAUAUAUUCAACAUAUAUAAUUUCAAGAAAAUACCAAGGUAUCCAUUUAGUUCUACCAAUCCCAUUUGCCUCAUAAUUGUUUUUGAAAUGUUUUAACAAAAUCAAUUCAAAACUUUUCCUUAUUAGUCCGCACCAAUUUUAGAUUUUAAAGUGCCUAAUUUUAAUCAAUAAGGAUCAUGACAUUGCAAGGCUUGAAUUUUUAGACUAUGUUCAGUUUCUAUGCCAAGCUGGAAAUUUGAAGAUAAAAGUUAAGGUGUACUUCAGGUGUCAACUAUCAAUACUAAAAAAAGAGCCUUCAUUUUUCCAUUGGCUACGACAUCAAACAUGUGUAUCCUACCAUGUAGGAGUACUUGUUCCAAUUCAUGGCUUUCAUCUUUCAUGCGUGUGUCUUCAAAGUUUAUAGGCAAUUACCACACAUAACUAACCAAGCCCCUCAUCAUGCUCGUGGUUAGUCAUUUUAAAACCUUUCUCUUUUAUCUGUUGUGUGCUCAUUGAGCUAUUCUAUCAUGCUUGUCGUUUGUUGUCAAGGUGAGUUGAGGCAGACAGCAAGGGCUGAGGUUGAAAAAUAAAUUGCCAUUGUGAUGCUAAGCAAAAUAUCAGGUUCUAAUUAGUGGAGGACUACAAAGUUAAAGAGGUCUUGAUGAGAUGAUUGACAUGACAUGAAUAGUUAAUUUGACGUGUAUCAUGGGCACUUCUUCAUUAUUCAGUUGCCUCGCUUGAAUUUGUGGACCAACUGGUGGGCAUAGUUCAGUUUUCACAGAUAGCGAAAGCUGCAAAACUGGGUGUGCUAGAUUUUGUUCAAAGUGCAAACUUUUAUUUGAUAAAGCCGGUCAAGUUUACUUGUGUACAUCAAUGCAGUACCAACUGUAAAAGAGUUACAACACAAGGUGAAGAGUCUCCUUUUUGUAUUACACUGGGAUUGAACCCGCAUGUUGCUAGGGCAACCCUCUUUUAUUUUGGUCUUUAACUCUAUUUUCUGGUGUAUCUUUGUUUAUUGAAAAUAGUUGUUGCCCUGCCCUCGACAAUUUGCAGUGUGUGCAUGACAUCUUAUAUACACUAUGGCCCUGUUUGGUUCAGCUUUUAUCGACGGAUUCCGCUGCCGCGCAGCAGAAUCUGAACCAAAGGGCAAACCCAGCAGAAUCUGAUUCCAGAAAUUCGCUGCCAAAAUUUGAACCAAAAGCGGAAGCAGCCCAGGACGUGCUUUCCAAAAUCUGAUUUGGAUGCGGGCAAAAAUCUGAAAAAACUGUAUCAGCUGGUUUGUCAAAUGACCUACAUCUUUUUCACAACUGCUUUUAGAAAUCCACAACCGAACCAAACAGGGCCUAUGGCUGGCUAAUUUAGAUAAUUACCACCUAUGACCACUAUCUUGCCUAUUUUUCUUGUGAUGGCAACCAUAAGUAGAGGGUUCAGCAAGGCAUUGAGAGAGACAGGUGGC